GACGAACGCUGGCGGCGUGCUUAACACAUGCAAGUCGAACGGAAAGGCCCUGCUUUUGUGGGGUGCUCGUGUGGCGAACGGGUGAGUAACACGUGAGUAACCUGCCCUUGACUUUGGGAUAACUUCAGGAAACUGGGGCUAAUACCGGAUAGGAGCUCCUGCUGCAUGGUGGGGGUUGGAAAGUUUCGGCGGUUGGGGAUGGACUCGCGGCUUAUCAGCUUGUUGGUGGGGUAGUGGCUUACCAAGGCUUUGACGGGUAGCCGGCCUGAGAGGGUGACCGGCCACAUUGGGACUGAGAUACGGCCCAGACUCCUACGGGAGGCAGCAGUGGGGAAUAUUGCACAAUGGGCGGAAGCCUGAUGCAGCAACGCCGCGUGCGGGAUGACGGCCUUCGGGUUGUAAACCGCUUUCGCCUGUGACGAAGCGUGAGUGACGGUAAUAGGUAAAGAAGCACCGGCUAACUACGUG
rnacentral:rRNA from 1 species